rnacentral:rRNA from 1 species
AUGGAUAAGGGCCUCUUCGCCAACGACGGCUCCUUCAUGGAGAGAUUCAAGCAGAUGCAGCAGGAGAUGCAGGACAAGGAGAAGCCCGUGGCCCCCGCCGCCGCUGGCGCUGUCUCCUCUGCGCCGGCCAAGCCUGUCAACCCCAAGACGCCUCUUGUCAUUGCGGCAAACAAAAGGCCGCUCGAGGUGAAGAAGGCUGGCUCGGUCUUGUCGGGUGGGAAGCUGGCCUUUAGCCUCAAGAAGAACAAGAUCCCCAUUGUGCCUGUCAAGUUUGGAGCCGAUGAGGACGACGAAGACGACGUUGCUGGUGUGGAGAGGGGGGAUCAUGCAAAGCGGCACAAGUCCAUUGAUGCUCCCUCAGCUGCUGCCCCAGCUAGGGUUGUUGCCUCAGCACCACCAAAUGAUAUGACAGUGAGGCAGGUUGCUGACAAAUUAGCAAGCUUUGUUGCCAAAAAUGGGAGACAGUUCGAGGAUAUUACACGCCAGAAGAAUCCUGGAGAUUCACCAUUCAAGUUUCUGUUUGAUAAGAACUGUUCAGACUACAAAUAUUACGAGACUCGGCUUGCUGAAGAGGAAAAGGUGCAUGCUCAAACAAAGGAUGCUCAGGCUUCAAAAAUUGUUAAUUCAAGCACUGCAAGCUCCAUAGCACAUACUGGUGCACAGAGAAGCUCAUUUGAACAAAGGUCUAACUAUCAAACACCUGCUUCUGCUUUAUAUGGUGCAUAUGAAGGUAGUUCUUCCCAGGGAAGCUCAUCUAGUCAUGGUGGUCAAAGUAUGUCUGCACCCUCAGAUCCAGUAGCAUUGAUGGAAUUCUACAUGAAGAAAGCUGCACAGGAAGAACGGAAGAGACCACCAAGGCAGUCAAAAGACGAAAUGCCACCACCUCCAUGCCUUAUUCAGGGUCCUCCUAAGAAGGGACACCACAUGGGGGACUUCAUUCCACAAGAAGAACUCGAGAAGUUCAUGGCACGCUGUAAUGAUGCUGCAGCACAAAAGGCUACCAAAGAAGCUGCAGAGAAGGCUAAGAUUCAGGCCGAUAAUAUUGGGCACAAGCUUCUGUCUAAGAUGGGCUGGAGGGAAGGUGAGGGUCUUGGCAGCGAGAGAAGUGGCCGUGCAGAUCCCAUUAUGGCUGGAGAUGUGAAACAGGACCACCUUGGUGUUGGUGCUAUCCAACCUGGUGAGGUGUCAUCUGAAGAUGACAUCUACGAGCAAUACAAGAAGCGAAUGAUGCUAGGCUACCGCCAUAGGCCAAACCCACUGAACAACCCAAGGAAACAAUACUACUGA